AAACAGAGAUGCCUCCAACACUGAGUACAUGUACACAAUUUGCAUGCAGAGAAGAAGCCAGAAGACAAGCCCAAAAGACUACUAGGUACCUGUGGCUCAGGUCAAUCUCAGAAGAACCUGUUUCCCCAUGGCAUACCACUGAUCUGUGAGAGGCAUUGUAAGAAGCCAUCAGGAUCCAGGAGGAAGUAUGACGGUAUCAAGGACUGUGUGUUGCCAGAAAGCAAGCAACUCCCGACACGUGAUGAGAUCAAUGAACCUGAAGAAGAAAAUGAUUAAACAUCCCUAGAUGUUUGAAUGAACCUGAUGAUGGGAAGAAGAUGGAGGGCAUUGGGCAUCAUGGGCACAUGUCUGGAACUCUAAGCAACAACAUUCACAAGUGUACCUCAAAUGAA